GUUGUAGCUCAGUGGUAGAGCACUUGCCUCCCACAUGUGAGGCCCUGGGUUCCAUCCUCAGCACCACG
rnacentral:tRNA from 1 species